AUAGAAUGGCACCACUGAGAAUUCCCCCAGAAGCACAAGAACUAGUUAUGAAGGAUAAAACUGUCCACUGGUCCAGGUUCCUGAUAAAAUUACUAUACUGUGUUGCCUUACAGAGAAAUGUCGGAUCUACAAAUACAUAAUAAAUAUUGAGACUGAGAGAUGGAAAAUGGUUCUACAACCACAUACAGGAGGAAGGCUGACCUAGAAACUUUGGUGGAACAGGCACUGACUUUAAUGUUGAAGUAAGAAGAGAAAACAUUUUCUUUUACCUAGGUUCUGCCUCAUGUGACUUAGUCAACACUGGAAUUUUUUUAAAAGAAGUAACCUGUUGUAAAACUCAAGAGAGGACACAGGAAAAUCGGAUAUUUAUAGAGGCAGUUUAUUGUAUUUGCAGAGAAGAAUUAGGUACCUAUCAAAAGAUCUGAGAUAAAAGAUCUACUCUGUCACUCAUUAGCUUGGAGACUUUGAUCAAGUCACUAUCUUUGUGGGUUUUAAAUUCUUCAUCUUUAACAUUAACUCAUUAGAUUGCCUAUCCAGAGGUUACUUCCAUCUCCUUGAAAAAUCUCUUUAAGCCCCUGCUGUGUCACUGUCCUAUAUUCUUUCAUGAGAUGGUCAGUCAGGUGUGGCCACAAGAAAGCAAAGUUUCUUAUAUCCCAGGUCCGAGAGAGACAGGGUUGUGAAGGGACCUCAUGAGGGGAGCACCAAGGGAGCUGGUUCAGCCACGUGGGUGGGGAGCUGAGAGAGAGUGAGGCCCCGUAGGCAAGUGAGGGUCAGGGUGGAGUACUCAGCAAAAGGUGCCAGAGGAUUUCAUUGUUGUGCCUGAAUGUCACUAGGUCAUGGUCAGGGGAGGGCAAGAAGGGGAACCUGUAGCAGGGGUCAGCCUUAUCAUACUAGUGUACCUGGUCACCUGGGAGGGGUGCUUAUAGCCUGUUAGGGGGGACGUUGAGGCAACAGGAAACUAAGGAGUUUUAAAAUUUACAAUCCAGUCAUUAGGUUGUGCUAUGUUCUGGAUUGUUUGGGUGUCCCUGAAAUCCAUAUGUUGAAAUCCUAAUGCUCAAUUUGAUGGUAUUAAGAGGUAGGGGCUUUGGCAGGUACAUAGGUUAUGAGGGUGGAGCCUCUUGUGCUUUUAUAAAGGAGACCCCACAAAGCUCCCUUCUGCCAUAUGAGGAUUCAAGGAGAAGUCAACCCAAUCAUGCUGGCACCUGAUCUCAGAAUUCUAGCCUCCAGAACUGAGAGCAAUACAUGUCUAUUGUUUAUAAGCUACCCAGUCUUUGGUAUUUUAUUAUAGCAGCCCAAACAGACUAAACUAGGUUGCAAGCAUUUUAACACUUCACAACUAAAUGUGUACCAAACCUAGGAGGUUUGAGAGCAGAUAACUUCCUUCCCUACCAUUACGUUAUAUAGUAUUAUAAACAUUUGUGGUGGUCCUAAAUAUUUCAUUCUCCUAAACUAACCCUUGAUAGUUUCCCAGUGAGAACUACCUUUAGAGGAAGGAGUUGAUACAUACUGCUUGAUUCUCAGGUGCUGGAUUGUCAGGUAACAGGUGUAGCUGGGAGAAUGCUUACCUAUACAUUAUUUAUCACUAGAGGCUAUACUUUCUUAUGCCUCAUGUGAGCAAUCCAGUAUAUAAAUAAUAUGUAUUCUUCCAUUAAUUUGAUUCCUUCUCUGCAGUUUCCAUACUUUAAGGUUAAUUGUGACAGAUUCAAAUUAUAAAAUAAUAUUAGAGCUAAUUCACAAUAUAGUGUUAGCUAUAGAAAUUUUCUAACGUUUGAAUUCCCUAAGCAUGUGAGUUUUGGGGGAGCAUUAUUACUGCACAUGAGUUUUACCUUUAGCUUCAAGUAAAUUGGUUACAUUGUGUAUUUCACUGUAGCAUUUUCUGUCUCCUUGCUUUCAUUUAAGAUGACACUUUGAUCAAAGGUGACGAAACAUGAAAUUAUGGCCAGCUGUAAAAAUGUCACAUGCUAUUUCAAAGUCCUCCUGCAGCCAAAAAAUUUCCUGAUUAUCUGGACCCACCAAGGGAAUUAAAAUUCAGUGCACUUGACAUUACAGCAUGUUUUAACAAGAGCACAAUUAUAUUCCUACCCUGUUCCAAUAUAGAGUUGCCUAGUCAGAAUUGUCAGACAAGCCCAUGGGGGAUAAGAACUGUCAUCAAGCUCACACAGGAGAGUAAAAUGAAGUCAAUGGUUUCUUCCUUUAUAAAAAUCACUAAUUAUAUUUUAUUUGAAAA